rnacentral:rRNA from 1 species
GAUUAACGCUGGGCGGCGUGCCUAACACAUGCAAGUCGAACGCGCAUUUAUGUGAGUGGCGGACGGCUGAGUAACACGUUGGUACCUACCCCGAACUCGGGAAUAAGCACUGGAAACGGUGUCUAAUGCCCGAUAGUCUCCUUGGAGUAAAGAUUUAUCGGUUCGGAGGGGCCUGCGCGAGAUUAGCUUGUUGGUGAGGUAAUGGCUCACCAAGGCUUCGAUCUCUAGGGGUCUGAGA